UACGGGGGGAGCAAGCGUUGUCCGGAUUUACUGGGCGUAAAGAGCGCGCAGGCGGUCGUUCAAGUCGAGUGUGAAAGCCCCCGGCUCAACUGGGGAGGGUCAUUCGAUACUGAUCGACUCGAAGGCAGGAGAGGGUAGUGGAAUUCCCGGUGUAGUGGUGAAAUGCGUAGAUAUCGGGAGGAACACCAGUGGCGAAGGCGACUACCUGGCCUGUUCUUGACGCUGAGGCGCGAAAGCUAGGGGAGCAAACGGG
rnacentral:rRNA from 1 species